UACAGAGGUCUCAAGCGUUGUUCGGAUUCAUUGGGCGUAAAGGGUGCGUAGGUGGCGUCGUAAGUCGGGUGUGAAAUUUCGGAGCUUAACUCCGAAACUGCAUUCGAUACUGCGGUGCUUGAGGACUGGAGAGGAGACUGGAAUUCUCGGUGUAGCGGUGAAAUGCGUAGAUAUCGAGAGGAACACCUGCGGCGAAGGCGGGUUGCUGGGCUGACACUGACGCUGAAACGCGAAAGCUAGGGGAGCGAACGGG
rnacentral:rRNA from 1 species